rnacentral:tRNA from 1 species
AAAUGGGAAGCAAUUUGCAUUUAAUUUCGACUUAAAAGACAGGGUAUAAACCCCCCAUUUA